rnacentral:rRNA from 1 species
UUGCUCUUCAACGAGGAAUACCUAGUAAGCGUGAGUCAUCAGCUCGCGUUGAUUACGUCCCUGCCCUUUGUACACACCGCCCGUCGCUACUACCGAUUGAAUGGCUUAGUGAGAUCUCCGGAUUGCUGUGGAGGGAGCCGGCAACGGCACCUUCCUCGCGAGAAGUUGAUCAAACUUGGUCAUUUAGAGGAAGUAAAAGUCGUAACAAGGUUUCCGUAGGUGAACCUGCGGAAGGAUCAUUAGUGAAUGCCCUCACGGGCUUAACUAUCCAACCAACCUCUGUGAACUGUCGCCCUCGGGCGCUUCUAUAACAAACUAUAACUGUCAUGAACGUCGUAUACAAAAACAAACACAACUUUCAACAACGGAUCUCUUGGCUCUCGCAUCGAUGAAGAACGCAGCGAAAUGCGAUAAGUAAUGUGAAUUGCAGAAUUCAGUGAAUCAUCGAAUCUUUGAACGCACCUUGCGCCCUCUGGUAUUCCGGAGGGCAUGCCUGUUUGAGUGUCAUGUAGACUCAACCCCCCUGGUUUAUGAUCGGGAAGGGUUGGAUGUGGGCGCUGCCAAUUGCUGGCUCGCCUUAAAUGUCUUAGCGGCUUAGAAGCCCCGACCUAGCGUAAUAAGUUUCGCUGGAGAGGGUGUGGAUGACUGCUUACAAUCGCCCUCGGGCAAUCUUUUGACUCUGGCCUCAAAUCAGGUAGGACUACCCGCUGAACUUAAGCAUAUCAAUAAGCGGAGGA